rfam:Trichomonas vaginalis G3, whole genome shotgun sequence.
UGACAAUCAGGACGCUUAGAGUAUGGCCACAUGAAUGACUCAGCGCAGUAUGAAGUCUUUGUUUUCUUCCGAAAACAAGCUCAAUGAGAGCCAUCGGGGGUAGAUCUAUCUCAUGACGAGUGGUGGAAUACUUUGACUCAUGAGAGAGAAGCUGAGGCGAAGGCGUCUACCUAGAGGGUUUCUGUCGAUCAAGGGCGAGAGUAGGAGUAUCCAACAGGAUUAGAGACCCUGGUAGUUCCUACCUUAAACGAUGCCGACAGGAGUUUGUCAUUUGUUAAUGGCAGAAUCUUUGGAGAAAUCAUAGUUCUUGGGCUCUGGGGGAACUACGACCGCAAGGCUGAAACUUGAAGGAAUUGACGGAAGGGCACACCAGGGGUGGAGCCUGUGGCUUAAUUUGAAUCAACACGGGGAAACUUACCAGGACCAGAUGUUUUUUAUGACUGACAGGCUUCGGGUCUUUCAGGAUAUUGUUUUUGGUGGUGCAUGGCCGUUGGUGGUGCGUGGGUUGACCUGUCUAGCGUUGAUUCAGCUAACGAGCGAGAUUAUCGCCAAUUAUUUACUUUGCCGAAGUCCUUCGGUUAAAGUUCUAAUUGGGACUCCCUGCGAUUUUAGCAGGUGGAAGAGGGUAGCAAUAACAGGUCCGUGAUGCCCUUUAGAUGCUCUGGGCUGCACGCGUGCUACAAUGUUAGGAUCAAUAGGACUGCGAGCCUGAGAGGGUGCGCUACUCUUAUAAUCCCUAACGUAGUUGGGAUUGACGUUUGUAAUCAGCGUCAUGAACCAGGAAUCCCUUGUAAAUGUGUGUCAACAACGCACGUUGAAUACGUCCCUGCCCUUUGUACACACCGCCCGUCGCUCCUACCGAUUGGAUGACUCGGUGAAAUCACCGGAUGCUUACGAGCAGAAAGUGAUUAAAUCACGUUAUCUAGAGGAAGGAGAAGUCGUAACAAGGUAACGGUAGGUGAACCUGCCCGUGGAUCAGUU